ACUGGGUGAAGUUUGUCUUA
rnacentral:miRNA from 1 species